GAUGAACGCUCGCGGCGUGCCUAACUCAUGCAACUCGAGCGAACAGACGAGGCGCUUGCUCCUCUCUCGUUAGCGGCGGAAGGGUGAGUAACAAGAGGAUAACCUACCUAUUCGACUGGGAUAACUUCGGGAAACCGGCGCUAAUACCGGAUCAUAUAUUGAUCCGCUUGGGUCAAUGGUCAAAGCCGGUUUUCCUGUCCCUUAUCGUUGGAUCCGAGCCGCAUUAGCUGGUUGGUAAGGUCACGGCUUUCCAACGCAAAGUCGCGUAGCCGACCGGAGAGGGUGAUCGGCCACACGGGAAGUGAGACACGCUCCAGACUCCUGCGGGAGGCAGCAGUAGGGAAUCUGCAGCAGUGGGCGAAAGCCUUACGCAACAACGCGGAGUGAGUGAUGAAGGUCUUCUGCUCGUAAAACUCUGUUAGUAGGGAAGAACAAAUGUGUAAGUAACUAUGCACGUCUUGACGGUACCUAGUCAGAAGGCCAGGGCUAACUACGUG
rnacentral:rRNA from 1 species